UCUGCUACCUCUCUCUCACACAAUUUCUUCCACACUUCACGCUGUCUCUCUCUCACACAACUUCUUCACAAUCAAUCGUCUCUCACGCCUGGGUUUUUCUUUCAGAGGGCCAAUGCAAAACUAGUUUAUGCUUGCGAAUGGAAUCCCAAUGCCAUUGAGGCACUCCAACACAAUCUACAAGCCAAUUCAGGUGUUGCUGAUCGUGUUUGUCUUGGUCUCAUUCCAACAAGUGAGGGUAGCUAGGUCACUGCUGUAAGGGCAUUAAGAAGGAUUAGGUGCAAAUGGUAGGAUGGUUAAGGAAUUGAAGAAGUUACUUCCCUAUCAGGUCCCGCCUCGGUACACACUACAAUGUUGGUACUAGUAGAGAUGAAGAGGACAACUCAAUCAAAAACACGAGGGAGAUUGAAAACAGCUUGGAGGGUAACUCAGAGGAAGACUAGUAUAGAUCUUGUCAUAAUUCUAGUUGUUUAAGUUUAAAACAAGGUUUAA